rnacentral:rRNA from 1 species
UACGAAGGGGGCUAGCGUUGCUCGGAAUUACUGGGCGUAAAGCGCACGUAGGCGGCUCUUUAAGUCGGAGGUGAAAUCCUGGAGCUCAACUCCAGAACUGCCUUCGAUACUGAAGAGCUCGAGUCCGGGAGAGGUGAGUGGAACUGCGAGUGUAGAGGUGAAAUUCGUAGAUAUUCGCAAGAACACCAGUGGCGAAGGCGGCUCACUGGUCCAUUACUGACGCUGAGGUGCGAAAGCGUGGGGAGCAAACAGG